rnacentral:rRNA from 1 species
AAACUAGGAUUAGAUACCCUAUUAUUUUAAGUGUAAAUUAUUUAGGCUUGAGUAGUAAUAGGUAUGAUCUUGAAACUCAAAGAAUCUGGCGGUGUUUUAGUCUUUUCAGAGGAAUCUGUCCCAUAAUCGAUAGUUCACGUUUAAAUUUACUUAUUCUUGUAAAAUCAAUUUGUAUACCGCCGUCAUCAGAUUAUCUUUUUAGAGGAAAAAUUUUCUUUAUAUUUAAGUAAAUAGAAUGUCAGGUCAAGGUGCAGUUUAUGAAUAAGUGGAGAUGGAUUACAAUAAAAUUAUUUAUAUGGAGAUUUACUUGAAAUUGUAAGUUGAAGGUGGAUUUGAAAGUAAUUUUAUUAUUUAUAAAAUGAUUAUAGCUCUAAAACAUGUACACAUCGCCCGUCGCUCUU